GAGAAGAGAAGAUUUGGCUGAGUAUAAUUAGUCACACAAGAAUUUGGUCUCAACAUCUUUUUUCUGUAUCUUGGUGACCAGAACUGGAUGCCGUAUUCCAAACCUUAACUCAAUUGAAAAUCUAUGGAGCCGACUAAAGAAACUUGUUAGUCAGAAGCGACCCAGCAAUAAAACCCAGUUAAUAGAAGCCACCAUUCAAUCUUGGUUUCACAUUAUAACAGCUGCAGAACUCAAAGACUUGGUUCAGUCCAUGGAAAGCAUUGUAAGGCCAAAAUUCAUGCUAAAGAUUUUAAGAUGCUUUAUCCAAUCAUACAACUUUGUGAAAAAAAGAAAAGGGACUUGGACAUGCUGUGGGCAUGGGAAAGCAUAUAUACAGAUUUCAAGAUGAUUUAUCCAAUGAUACAAGAAAGAGACUUGGACAUGCUACAGACAUAGGAAAGAGUAUGUAAAUGGAUUACAUAAGCAAAGGGAGGAACCAAUUUGAUGACUCUAGAACAACUCUCUGCAGCCAACACUUUGGGGCCAACUCUCAGCGGCCAACUCUUAGUGGCCAACUUACCAUGGCCAAUUUGCCACUGCCAGCUCACCGUACUCAAGUCCAGGUGGCCAAAUCUCCAUGGCCAACAUUCUGUGGCCAAUUCUCCAUGGCCAACUUGCCAGAGCCAACUCAUUGCCUUCAACUCCCCACAGCCCCCACUCUGUGGCCAACUCACCAUGGACAAAAGUUACACUAAUAUCAAAGAAAUGGUGGAGUAGAAUCAUUAAAGAAAGGAUGCAAAAGGAAGGACAACAUGAAAUGUGAAGGACAACAAUUAAAAUAUUUUUUAAAUUAUAUUAAAUAAUUAAAUUGAAUUGUUGUGUCAGGGUUCCGACGGAUGCCCUAAUUAAAUCAUGACUCUCGAGCCAAGCUUCAAAAGAAAUCCAGACAUUUAUUAGGAGCUUCAUGUUGGCAUGUUCCCAGAUGAAGCCAGCUCUGACCCAGCUCCAAUUAUGACCCAGUUUUCCCCCCUCUCCCCCCAGAGUGUGUCAUCAAUCAUAUUCGCCAAUGGAACAAUUUCACGGGUUGUAGAAGUCACUCCCCUCUGGUCGCUGUGGGUAAUCCUGGGAUACAGCCUUGAGAGAGAUAAGCAUGGAAUGUGCAUCUGUCGUUGCCUGCUGUGCCAUUUUACCGUUUUCCCAUCCCCCCUGGCCUAUGGCAACUCAAGAGCAAGCCAGGGAUGCUUUGCAAAUUGACAUGUUGAUUCGUACUGUAGCAAGCUACCCCAUGGCGAAUUGGAUGUGGUGAGUUGUCCUAUUUAGGCAUUUGAUAGAAGAUGGGCAAAUCCAGUGGUGGGAUUCAGCCAGUUCUCACCUAUUCGGGAGAACCAGUUGUUAACUUUCUAAGCAGUUCGGAGAACUGGUUGUUGGAAGAAAUCUUAUUUUGUUUUUUUCCACUUUACAGGGCUAAUCCUGUAAGGAAGGCAGGAAGGAAACAUUCUGCUGUUGUUUCUAGCCUAAUCUUUAUUGCCCUGCUUACAGAAACUGCCUCUAUAGUUAACCCUUAUUACAUUGUAACAGCUAAAGCGAAGCGCCCAUCGAUGUCAGUGACGUUGAGUUGGCCACACAUGGUCACAUGACCACCAAGCCACGCCUACCCAGCUGGUCAUUAGGGCAGAGAACUGGUUGUUAAAUUUGAAUCCCACCACUGGGCAUAUCCUUUCCUUUACUACCCUUUGGAAACUAAUUUGAAAGGGAAGCAGAGUAGAAAAAUUUUAUAACGAAUGAGAACUCAAUGGAGACAGAAUUUUGCGGAUGGCUGACUCUGUGUGGUUUUGGUAUCGGUGCUCUGUAGCUUUCUCUUAUAGUGCUCUGUGCCGGGCACAGAAAUAUACUGCUCUAUCUGAGGUUGUCAAAGAUCUCAACUCAAGGUAGACUUCAUUUUUGGAAGUGUCUCUUGUGAUAACAAUUCUAUUGUUAAAACUGAAUUGUAGUAGGUGUCCCCUCCUUGGUUAACGCUCUUAAUUCCUCCCAGCCAUUCAAAACUUUUUCCUGGACAUUUUCGGUUCCAACCCCAGAACCAACCAUCAACUUCAACUCCAGAAACAGCACAGUCCAGUUUGACCGA